CCGGCCGCCAGCGGCGCUGGCAAAGUUCGGAUCCGCAAGGACCGGGCCAGCGGGACGUCCGAGUGGCAGGGUGCACUUUUCUCCGCGGUCGAGUGCUACGACCGGUUUCGAGGCGGUCAGAAGCCCGGCGGAAAGGUAGCGCCGCCCUUCGGGGUGUCGUGUUAUAGGCCGCCGCGGUGGACUCGCCGCGAGACCGAGGACGCUUGCCGCGCCGAGCGGUCCCGGGCCGUCUUGGGAGGUUCGACCUCGGCUGCACUGCUCCGCAGAGCACCGUAACCGCCGCCCUAGCACGGGUCCGGAGACUGCCGGCGCCUCGGGUCAGUAGCG
rnacentral:rRNA from 1 species